rnacentral:rRNA from 1 species
AAGUAGGGGAUCGCAAGACCUUACGCUUUUGGAGCGGCCGAUGUCUGAUUAGCUAGUUGGUGAGGUAAAGGCUUACCAAGGCUACGAUCAGUAGCUGGUCUGAGAGGACGACCAGCCACACUGGGACUGAGACACGGCCCAGACUCCUACGGGAGGCAGCAGUGGGGAAUUUUGGACAAUGGGCGAAAGCCUGAUCCAGCCAUGCCGCGUGAGUGAAGAAGGCCUUCGGGUUGUAAAGCUCUUUCAGCCGGAAAGAAACGGUUACGAUUAAUACCUGUAACUAAUGACGGUACCGAAAGAAGAAGCACCGGCUAACUACGUGCCAGCAGCCGCGGUAAUACGUAGGGUGCAAGCGUUAAUCGGAAUUACUGGGCGUAAAGGGUGCGCAGGUGGUUUUGUAAGUCAGAUGUGAAAUCCCCGGGCUUAACCUGGGAACUGCGUUUGAAACUACAAAGCUAGAGU